AUACGUAGGUGGCAAGCGUUGUCUGGAUUUACUGGGUGUAAAGGGCGAGUAGGCGGAGAUGCAAGUCAGGAGUGAAAUCUAGGGGCUCAACCCCUAAACUGCUUUUGAAACUGUAUCCCUUGAGUAUCGGAGAGGCAGGCGGAAUUCCUAGUGUAGCGGUGAAAUGCGUAGAUAUUAGGAGGAACACCAGUGGCGAAGGCGGCCUGCUGGACGACAACUGACGCUGAGGCGCGAAAGCGUGGGGAGCAAACAGGAUUAGAUACCCUGGUAGUCCACGCUGUAAACGAUGAAUACUAGAUGUGGGGGGACUGACCCCCUCCGUGCCGCAGUUAACACAAUAAGUAUUCCACCUGGGGAGUACGAUCGCAAGAUUGAAACUCAAAUGAAUUGACGGGG
rnacentral:rRNA from 1 species